rnacentral:rRNA from 1 species
CCCUUAGAUGUUCUGGGCCGCACGCGUGUUACACUGACGCAUUCAUCAAGCUUACCACCUUGGCAGAGAUGCUUGGGUAAUCUUUUAAAAGUGCGUCGUGAUGGGGAUAGAUGAUUGCAAUUUUUCAUCUUCAACGAGGAAUGCCUAGUAAACGCAAGUCAUCAGCUUGCAUUGAUUACGUCCCUGCCCUUUGUACACACCGCCCGUCGCUACUACCGAUUGAAUGGUUUAGUGAGCUUCAUGGACUGGUGGCCUCCGUGGUUCGCCUCGGUGGCCGUCGGGAAGUGAAUCAAACUUGUCUAUUUAGAGGAAGUAAAAGUCGUAACA